rnacentral:rRNA from 1 species
CGCAAGAUUAAAACUCAAAUGAAUUGACGGGGGCCCGCACAAGCGGGGAGCAUGUGGUUUAAUUCGAUGCAACGCGAAGAACCUUACCUACUCUUGACAUCCAGAGAACUUUCCAGAGAUGGAUUGGUGCCUUCGGGAACUCUGAGACAGGUGCUGCAUGGCUGUCGUCAGCUCGUGUUGUGAAAUGUUGGGUUAAGUCCCGCAACGAGCGCAACCCUUAUCCUUGUUUGCCAGCGAGUAAUGUCGGGAACUCCAGGGAGACUGCCGGUGAUAAACCGGAGGAAGGUGGGGACGACGUCAAGUCAUCAUGGCCCUUACGAGUAGGGCUACACACGUGCUACAAUGGCGCAUACAGAGGGCGGCCAACUUGCGAGAGUGAGCGAAUCCCAAAAAGUGCGUCGUAGUCCGGAUCGGAGUCUGCAACUCGACUCCGUGAAGUCGGAAUCGCUAGUAAUCGUGGAUCAGAAUGCCACGGUGAAUACGUUCCCGGGCCUUGUACACACCGCCCGUCACACCAUGGGAGUGGGCUGCAAAAGAAGUAGGUAGUUUAACCUUCGGGAGGACGCUUAC